UAAUUCCGUUAACGAACGAGACCUCAGCCUGCUAAAUAGUCCCAGUCAUCCUCGAUGGCUGGCUGACUUCUUAGAGGGACAAUGUGCGAUUAGCACAUGGAAGUUUGAGGCAAUAACAGGUCUGUGAUGCCCUUAGAUGUUCUGGGCCGCACGCGCGCUACACUGACGGAUUCACUGAGUCUAUCCUUGGCCGAAAGGUCCGGGUAAUCUUGAAAUUCCGUCGUGAUGGGGCUAGAUUAUUGCAAUUAUUAAUCUUCAACGAGGAAUUCCUAGUAAGCGUGAUUCAUCAGAUCGCGUUGAUUACGUCCCUGCCCUUUGU
rnacentral:rRNA from 1 species